GCCCCUAGCAACAUACAAGUAUUAGGGGUAAUGCCUGCCCAGUGACACCAUUUAAACGGCCGCGGUAUUCUAACCGUGCAAAGGUAGCGUAAUCACUUGUCCUUUAAAUAAGGACUAGAAUGAAUGGCCAAACGAGGUUCUACCUGUCUCUUGCAAACAAUCAGUGAAAUUGAUCUCCCUGUGCAAAAGCAGGAAUAACAUUAUAAGACGAGAAGACCCUGUGGAACUUUAAAUACAAAUCAAAUAAUACUAACACCCACCUACGGGUCAACAUUCAAUUUAACACCUGAUUUAUAUUUUUCGGUUGGGGCGACCUCGGAGCAAAACAAAACCUCCGAAAAAUGGAACUUCUCCAAACCUAGGCUUACAAUUCAAAGUGCCUGCGGCAAAACGAUCCAACAUAUUUGAUCAACGAACCAAGCUACCCCAGGGAUAACAGCGCAAUCCCAUCCUAGAGUCCAUAUCGACGAUGGGGUUUACGACCUCGAUGUUGGAUCAGGACAUCCUGACGGUGCAACCGCUAUCAAGGGUUCGUUUGUUCAACGAUUAACAGUCCUACGUGA
rnacentral:rRNA from 1 species